UUUACAAGCGUUGCCGGGGUAGUAGAUGCGGCUGCCUUUCUUGGGCGGGACGGUUGUCCCUUGGAUGCCCUUAAAAGUAGCCGUACAAGACUUAAAAGAGGGAGAACAAUCGCGGAGGCGCCGCUGUCUUUUGCCUGGUCUUUUUGUCUUCCGCCUCAUCUUGGAUCGAGGACUUUGGGGGUUCGAGCAAUUAAUCGGGUGUGACCGAGGUUGGGGCCAUUGAAGUGAAACUGAAAUAACUCCCAUGAACUUGAGAUGGACGCCACGUGAAUCACAAUUGGUGACUUUGAGCUCAAAGGAGGCUAUAUGGACCUCCCAGAACACCAGCAGUGUUGUAAGAGAAAUGGGACUAAGAGAGAGAAAGAGAGACUGGAGCCUCCCAGUUUCCCAAGCCACAUCUCCACCAAUAUUGUAGCACAAGCUUCUGUAAAUUAAACAGGGAGCAAACCCAUACUCACCAGCUCUGAUGAUGUUAUCUAGUUGGGUAAUGAAACAUCUGCAACCAAACAACCAAGUUUGGAGAACAACAAGGACUCCACAGCUCAACAUAUUGCAUAUGUUGUAAUAUAUAUAUUCUUUUAUUGGCAAGAAUGAAAGAUUGGUCCAAAAUUGAGCAUCUGUGCUCAAUUUUGAGCAUCUGUGGCUAAGGUGGACUUGAACGUGGGUCUCUCUAGUGCAGCAUGCUGAUUCCACAUUAAUAUAUGAAACUAGAGUAUAGAUGUAGAUAAGCUUAGAAAUUAAAAUACACACUUUUCUGUAUUUAAUUUAUCUCUGUGUCUCCAUUUAUGGUUCAGAUAAUCUUGUUACUUUGACAUUCAAGUAGUCUUUCAUCUUGUUGCUGUUUCUAAUUUAUGUCUUAUCUAGGUCUGUGUUUUAUAUUAAAUUCUUCCGUAUCCCUGCAUCACUCGUAAGUCAUUGUACAAUAUUGGCUUAACUAGUUUCAUGAAUACAUGUUGUGAUUUAUUUAAUAAAUCAUGCUUAUUGCAGUGUGAAAACCCAGUUAUCUCCACUGCAAUGCUAGUUACAGAAUAAAUAUUUGUUAGCAUAUGUUGCAUUUAUAAUGUUCCUUUGUUUGUCAGAUACAGUAUAAGUAUGAAGUAUUAAACUAUAUCUCUUGAUAGGUAUGCAUUGAA